AUGGAGUCCCACGCCACACCGCCGAUUUCCCUCACCGCUUUCGGCACCGGAGAUCGAGAUGGCCGUCUUCUCCACCAACUCCGGUUGAAACUGCGGCUCCCGCCGUCCUGCCUGCUCGGCUUCCUAUGCUGGGCAGCAGUAUUCCAUGUUGGGAUUGGCUUCAAGCUUCAUGCGAUCGCCCUUUCAACCCUGCUAAGCAUAAACUGGAUACUGUUGCUUGGGAGGACUCUCAAGUUAGUGAUUCUGGUGGUCAUGGAUGCCACGCAUUGUGCACCAGUUGACGGCUCUAACAUAUCAUUCUGCCUCCACUGUUUGUAUUCUGCUGAUCUGCUCUUCUCAUUCGCCAUAGACAAAUGCAGCUCAUUGAAAUCUCAGUUUGCUAACAACUCCUGGCCCAUUAUUAAGCUUAAGCCAGUACUUCGCAACAAUGGAUGGUUGUGUGCAUCUUGCAAUUAUACAUACAUACAUACAUACAUACUCCCCUGA
rnacentral:rRNA from 1 species